rnacentral:rRNA from 1 species
AACAAACGCUGGCGGCGUGCCUAAUACAUGCAAGUCGAACGGGGAAAGCUUUCGGGUGAGUACUAGUGGCGCACGGGUGAGGAACGCGUGGAUAAUCUGCCUUAGAGUGGGGGAUAACUAGUCGAAAGAUUAGCUAGUACCGCAUAAGACCACAGGAGCUGCGGCUCAAGGGGUCAAAGGUUUUUCGCUCUAAGAUGAGUCCGCGUAAGAUUAGCUAGUUGGUGAGGUAACGGCUCACAAAGGCGACGAUCUUUAACUGGUCUGAGAGGAUGAUCAGGCAAACUGGAACUGGGACACGGUACAGACUCCUAUGGGAGGCAGCAUUGGGGAAUAUUGCACAAUGGAGGAAACUCUGAUGCAGCGACGCCGCGUGAGUGAUGAAGGCCUUCGGGUCGUAAAGCUCUGUCGCAGGGGAAUAACACAAUGAAGGUACCCUGUAAGAAAGGAUCGGCUAACUUCGUGCCAGCCGCCGCAGUAAUAC